rnacentral:rRNA from 1 species
AGCGAACGCUGGCGGCAGGCUUAACACAUGCAAGUCGAACGCCCCGCAAGGGGAGUGGCAGACGGGUGAGUAACACGUGGGAACGUACCCUUUGGUUCGGAAUAACUUGGGGAAACUCAAGCUAAUACCGGAUAAGCCCUUAUGGGGAAAGGUUUACUGCCGAAGGAUCGGCCCGCGUCUGAUUAGCUAGAUGGUGAGGUAAUUGCUCACCAAGGCGACGAUCAGUAGCUGGUCUGAGAGGAUGAUCAGCCACACUGGGACUGAGACACGGCACAGACUCCUACGGGAGGCAGCAGUGGGGAAUAUUGGACAAUGGGGGCAACCCUGAUCCAGCCAUGCCGCGUGAGUGAUGAAGGCCUUAGGGUUGUAAAGCUCUUUUACCCGGGACGAUAAUGACUGUACCGGGAGAAUAAGCCCCGGCUAACUUCGUGCCAGCAGCCGCAGUAA